rnacentral:tRNA from 1 species
GGAGAGGUCGCAUAGCCCGGUUUAGUGCGGCGGUUUGCUAAAUCGCUGUACGGGGAAACCCGUACCCAGGGUUCAAAUCCCUGCCUCUCCGCCA